rnacentral:rRNA from 1 species
AUACGUAGGGGGCGAGCGUUAUCCGGAAUUAUUGGGCGUAAAGAGUAUGUAGGUGGUUUCUUAAGCGCAGGGUUUAAGGCAAUGGCUCAACCAUUGUUCGCCUUGCGAACUGAGAGACUUGAGUGCAGGAGAGGAAAGUGGAAUUCCUAGUGUAGCGGUGAAAUGCGUAGAUAUUAGGAGGAACACCAGUGGCGAAGGCGGCUUUCUGGACUGUAACUGACACUGAGAUACGAAAGCGUGGGGAGCAAACAGGAUUAGAUACCCUGGUAGUCCACGCCGUAAACGAUGAGCACUAGGUGUCGGGGUCGCAAGACUUCGGUGCCGCAGUUAACGCAUUAAGUGCUCCGCCUGGGGAGUACGCACGCAAGUGUAAA